AGCAGCCGCGGUAAUUCCAGCUCCAAUAGCGUAUAUUAAAGUUGUUGCAGUUAAAAAGCUCGUAGUUGAAUUUCGAGAUCAGUACGCUGGUCGUGCCUUCGGUAUGCACUGGUGUCACUGGUUUCUCCCUUCUGAAGAACCGUCAUGCCAUUCAGUUGGUGUGGCGGGGAAUCAGGACUGUUACUUUGAAAAAAUUAGAGUGUUUAAAGCAGGCUCGCGCUUGAAUACAUUAGCAUGGAAUAAUGAAAUAGGACGUUUGACCCUAUUUUGUUGGUUUCUAGGAUCGACGUAAUGAUUAAUAGGGAUAGUUGGGGGCAUUAGUAUUCAAUUGUCAGAGGUGAAAUUCUUGGAUUUAUUGAAGACUAACUACUGCGAAAGCAUUUGCCAAGGAUGUUUUCAUUAAUCAAGAACGAAAGUUAGGGGAUCGAAGACGAUCAGAUACCGUCGUAGUCUUAACCAUAAACUAUGCCGACUAGGGAUCGGAUGAUGUUAAUUUUAUAAUGACU
rnacentral:rRNA from 1 species